UUCGGAUGCCUCCGGAACGCCUUCCUGGGAAGGUGUUCCGGUCCUGUCCCACCGGGAAGAGACCCCGGGGAAGACCUAGGACACGCUGGAGGGACUAUGUCUCCCGGCUGGCCUGGGAACGCCUCGGUGUCCCCCCGGAAGAGCUGGAGGAAGUGUCUGGGGAGAGGGAAGUCUGGGCAUCCCUGCUUAGACUGCUGCCCCCGCGACCCGGCCCCGGAUAAGCGGAAGAUGAUGCUAUGCUAUGCUAUGCUAUGAUGCUAUAAGUUGGCUAAGAUAUGUGCACAGACCAAAUUGAACUGGGUAGAUGCACUGCCACUGGCACUCAUGACGAUUCGAUGCUCGUUAAAUCAGACCACUGGGUUCACCCCAUACAAGCUGCUGACGGGGAGACAGUUUCCAGGACCAGCCGCAGGGCCUGCGGUCCCGGAAGGGGAGAAAUGGCCCAAAGAUCACAGAGUGUAUUUUGAUGAAUUGCGAGCUCUCAUUUCAGAAUUCACCAACAGAGUCGGAGAAAGGAAGAACCUGCACCCGUUGGACCAGAACCUGCCCCAGGCAGAGUGGGUGCUGCUGAAGGUCAUCAAGCGAAAGUGGUCAGAGCCAAGGUGGACGGGUCCUCAUCAGGUGGUGGAGAGAACGAGCCAUGCGGUCCGCCUGAGGGACAAAGGAGAGACGUGGUACCAUUGGAGCCAGUGCACACCAGCGCAGGAGCCAGGGAGGUCGCUGACGGACCUCAUCCAAACCGGGAAGGAGGAGCUUGCCCCAGUGUGGACGGAAGGAGGACCAAAACCAGCCGGACCGGUGCCAGGAGCGGACCCCAGGAUACUGCGGGACUACGAGCGAGAGAAGGAGACAAAGGACGGCGCCAGGGGAAUAGACUUUUAGGGGAAGGAACUGAAGAAUACUGUAACAAAAGUUUCCCAGGUUGGCAUCAGGUCUUCAUUCCCCCAGCGAAAGGGUUCGCUACCCCACCUGAGGACAUCUGCUUGAGGAAAUUUGGGGGCAGUGAAUUGGACUAUGUCAAGGGGUCUCAUAUGAGCAUUCUGGGAUAGACAACCCGUUUGAUAAUGUCUGUUCUUUUAUCGCUUGCUACCUUUUGUUUUAUAAUGGUUACUUGUGGGUGUUGUUGUAUCCCAUGCAUAAGAGGGCUCGCCAUGAGAGUGAUCUCGACAGCCAUUGAGAAGGCUCCAGGACUGUCACCAGGGAUGCUGAUGCCUCUACUGGAGCAGCAUGUCCUGGGAGAACUGGAGCUUGGCGAAUUGGGGUGAUCUCUCUAGGGAGAGAUCAAAAGGGGGAAUUGUGGAUAUACUGAAUGUAUAAGCUGUUAAACUGUUGUGAGCAUUGAGGCAAAAUAUUAAAUGUCUGUAGCAUCUGCUGAAACUGAAAGUUGCAAGUAGAAGAACAGGAAAUCUUAUUUAGGCUGUUGCUGGGGAGAGAGAGAGCAGAUUUAGCUUGUGUGUCUUAGACAAACAGGAAACAGAUUAACAACGCACACACAUAUUGGGGGAAUUCAAGAUAUAAAGCAUAAAGGGCAAAUAUGACGCAUGUGUUGCAUUUACACAUAUAAGGUAUAGAACAUAAACUGGACCAAUGGCGCACUAGCUUGGCUACCUUAACACUCCCACUUUUAGGCGUGUUUGAAGUAUAAAUAAUGCUGAUGUGACUGCUGAUCUUUAGACGUUGUGCGGCGACACUCUGUCUCCAAAAGCUUUUGUAAUAAACGGAAUAUACGGUACGGUAUUGACCUGACUCCUGGUGUGUUAUUCUCCUUUCCAUCAAACCAACUCGGGGAAGUGUUAGACUUCAACACGUCCCGGCAUGCCAGCUCCCUACGGACGUCAGGCUGUAAAUGGCACCGGAAAUUAUCUAUAAGUGCCUUCUCGUUCCAGCCUGACCCCGCCGCAGGGUCCUGAAUUCCAGGGCAAAGGCCUGCACGCUCCUCGUCCCCUGCCUGAGGUGCACAAGACGCUCACCAACCUCCCUGCCAUCGAGUGGAUGAUCGAAAACGGCCCAAAAGAGGCCAAUGAACGCCUCGUAAUGGGCCAACUCCGGCCCGUUAGCAGACCAGACAGAGUUGGCC
ensembl:lncRNA